rnacentral:rRNA from 1 species
GGGUUGUGAGGUUAAGCGACUAAGCGUACACGGUGGAUGCCUAGGCAAUCAGAGGCGAUGAAGGACGUGCUAAUCUGCGAUAAGCGUCGGUAAGGUGAUAUGAACCGUGAUAACCGACGAUUUCCGAAUGGGGAAACCCAGUGCAAUCCGUUGCACUAUCGUUUGAUGAAUACAUAGUCAAACGAAGCGAACCGGGGGAACUGAAACAUCUCAGUACCCCGAGGAAAAGAAAUCAACCGAGAUUCCCCUAGUAGCGGCGAGCGAACGGGGAGCAGCCCAGAGUCUUAAUCAGCAUUAGCAUCAGGAGAACGGUCUGGAAAGUCCGGCAGUAAAGGGUGAUAGCCCCGUAUCCGAAGGUGUUAGUGUUGUGAACUCGACGAGUAGGGCGGGACACGUGUUAUCCUGUCUGAAUAUGGGGGGACCAUCCUCCAAGGCUAAAUACUCCUGAUUGACCGAUAGUGAACCAGUACCGUGAGGGAAAGGCGAAAAGAACCCCGGCGAGGGGAGUGAAAUAGAACCUGAAACCGUGUACGUACAAGCAGUGGGAGCCCCACCACCAAAGCAUUUUCUAGUGUUGAGGACAACUUUGAAGUGACAUUCAACACGCGUUGGCGGAGCGUUUUUUGCGACGCCCAACACACAAAACAAGCAGUGAAUGUGCUUUGGGGUGGGGUGACUGCGUACCUUUUGUAUAAUGGGUCAGCGACUUAUAUUCUGUAGCAAGGUUAACCGUAUAGGGGAGCCGUAGGGAAACCGAGUCUUAACUGGGCGAAUAAGUUGCAGGGUAUAGACCCGAAACCCGGUGAUCUAGCCAUGGGCAGGUUGAAGGUUGGGUAACACUAACUGGAGGACCGAACCGACUAAUGUUGAAAAAUUAGCGGAUGACUUGUGGCUGGGGGUGAAAGGCCAAUCAAACCGGGAGAUAGCUGGUUCUCCCCGAAAGCUAUUUAGGUAGCGCCUCGUGAACUCAUCUUCGGGGGUAGAGCACUGUUUCGACUAGGGUCAUCCCGACUUACCAACUCGAUGCAAACUACGAAUACCGAAGAAUGUUAUCACGGGAGACACACGGCGGGUGCUAACGUUCGUCGUGAAGAGGGAAACAACCCAGACCGCCAGCUAAGGUCCCAAAGUCAUAGUUAAGUGGGAAACGAAGUGGGAAGGCUCAGACAGCCAGGAUGUUGGCUUAGAAGCAGCCAUCAUUUAAAGAAAGCGUAAUAGCUCACUGGUCGAGUCGGCCUGCGCGGAAGAUGUAACGGGGCUAAACUAUGCACCGAAGCUGCGGCAACGAUAUGUAAAUAUUGUUGGGUAGGGGAGCGUUCUGUAAGCCUGUGAAGGUGUGCUGUGAGGCAUGCUGGAGGUAUCAGAAGUGCGAAUGCUGACAUAAGUAACGAUAAUGCGGGUGAAAAACCCGCACGCCGGAAGACCAAGGGUUCCUGUCCAACGUUAAUCGGGGCAGGGUGAGUCGACCCCUAAGGCGAGGCAGAAAUGCGUAGUCGAUGGGAAACGGGUUAAUAUUCCCGUACUGGUGAUAAUUGCGAUGGGGGACGGAGAAGGCUAGGCUAUCCGGGCGACGGUUGUCCCGGUUUAAGGAUGUAGGCAGGUGAAUUAGGCAAAUCCGGUUCACUACAUGCUGAGGUCCGAUGACGAGUCACUACGGUGAUGAAGUAGCUCAUGCCCCGCUUCCAGGAAAAGCCUCUAAGCUCUAGAUUAUCAUUAAUCGUACCCCAAACCGACACAGGUGGUCAGGUAGAGAAUACUCAGGCGCUUGAGAGAACUCGGGUGAAGGAACUAGGCAAAAUGGUGCCGUAACUUCGGGAGAAGGCACGCUGGCGCUAGGUGAAGUCCCUCGCGGAUGGAGCUGAAGCCAGUCGCAGAUACCAGCUGGCUGCAACUGUUUAUUAAAAACACAGCACUGUGCAAACACGAAAGUGGACGUAUACGGUGUGACGCCUGCCCGGUGCUGGAAGGUUAAUUGAUGGGGUUAUCCGUAAGGAGAAGCUCUUGAUCGAAGCCCCAGUAAACGGCGGCCGUAACUAUAACGGUCCUAAGGUAGCGAAAUUCCUUGUCGGGUAAGUUCCGACCUGCACGAAUGGCGUAAUGAUGGCCAGGCUGUCUCCACCCGAGACUCAGUGAAAUUGAACUCGCUGUGAAGAUGCAGUGUACCCGCGGCAAGACGGAAAGACCCCGUGAACCUUUACUAUAGCUUGACACUGAACAUUGAGCCUUGAUGUGUAGGAUAGGUGGGAGGCUUUGAAGUGUGGACGCCAGUCUGCAUGGAGCCAACCUUGAAAUACCACCCUUUAAUGUUUGAUGUUCUAACGUAGCCCCGUUAUCCGGGGUGCGGACAGUGUCUGGUGGGUAGUUUGACUGGGGCGGUCUCCUCCCAAAGAGUAACGGAGGAGCACGAAGGUUGGCUAAGCAUGGUCGGACAUCAUGCGGUUAGUGCAAAGGCAUAAGCCAGCUUGACUGCGAGAGUGACGGCUCGAGCAGGUACGAAAGUAGGUCUUAGUGAUCCGGUGGUUCUGAAUGGAAGGGCCAUCGCUCAACGGAUAAAAGGUACUCCGGGGAUAACAGGCUGAUACCGCCCAAGAGUUCAUAUCGACGGCGGUGUUUGGCACCUCGAUGUCGGCUCAUCACAUCCUGGGGCUGAAGUAGGUCCCAAGGGUACGGCUGUUCGCCGUUUAAAGUGGUACGCGAGCUGGGUUUAGAACGUCGUGAGACAGUUCGGUCCCUAUCUGCCGUGGGCGUUGGAAGAUUGAAAGGGGCUGCUCCUAGUACGAGAGGACCGGAGUGGACGCACCACUGGUGUUCGGGUUGUCAUGCCAAUGGCAUUGCCCGGUAGCUAAGUGCGGAAGAGAUAACCGCUGAAAGCAUCUAAGCGGGAAACUUGCCUUGAGAUGAGUCUUCCCUGACCCUUAAAGGGUCCUAAAGGAACGUUUAAGACUAAGACGUUGAUAGGUUGGGUGUGUAAGCGUAGCGAUACGUUGAGCUAACCAAUACUAAUGAACCGUGAGGCUUAACCUGACAACACCGAAGGUGUUUUAG